ensembl:snoRNA
GGUAGAAAAUUCUGGUUGUGUUCUCACACUGCUGUACACAAAAAGGAAGAAUGAACCUACUCCAUGUACACAUCACCUAACUCUAUGUCCUGUGCUCAGUCUCUGGGUCUGGAUUAUGCAUGGGAAGAUGUGG